GAGCACAGCGAGCGACGGGUCAGUGCGCGCCGCUCCAUGCGCAGGAGAUUCGCGAUCGUAGAAAUCGAUUUCAACGUUAAAGAGAGCACACGAGCGAGCGAGCGACUGACGACGUGGCCAGCAGUGGGCCCAGCAGGGCCACCCUCAUGGGCCACACGAGCAGAGGCGGCCUGGCGGCCCAUCGGCGUCUCGAAGCCGCUGGCUCUCAACACGUUUCCCUGCGGCAGCCCCCCAGUCAAGACCGCUGGUUCCUGUCCCCCCCCCCACACUGCCCAGCUUCCACCCAGCAGGUGAUGCGUGCACCCCAGGUUCAGAGCCACUGACCCAGAGGGACGCUCGGAUUCUCGCGAGUGGCGAAGCGCGCUCACAGCUGCAUGCGGCGGGAACCAACUCCACGUGGACAGGGAGAUUCAUUCGUCCCCAGUGCCACCGAGCGAACAGAGAGCGAAGAAUGCGACUCACGCGAAUACAAUUCGAGUGCGGUGCCCUGCCACGCUUACACGUGUUGGCAGUGCUGGGAAUGGAAUGCCAAGGAAACAAACGGCACGUUUAGUUUCGGGAAGUCAUGGGCUUGUAACACGUUCCCCCUCAUUAGGUCUUGCUCUGUUAGCACUGCAGCAACUUAAACAUCGUAUUAUUGUACUACCUCAACCGUGUGGGUCAUUGAGGCCAUGAACGCUUCCUUCACCGGCAUCUCCUUGCAGAUGUCUCUCCACUUCUGUUCUGUGCGUCGCUGCGUCUCGCAACUGAGAUAGCUUCCCGCACGCCUGCUGUUGGAUGUUUGAUGUCCAGUCAGAAGCCGGUCUUCCUCUUCCCCGAGCACCUUGGAGUGACCCUUUCCCUCAUCAUCCUUCCGUGUCGGUCACCAUUCUUCCUGGUCACGUGUCUUAAUAUUGUGGCUUCCUGUAAAGGACUCAACAAAUGUUUUUAACACUUUUGAGAAUUUGCAACAUCACCACAAUAAAUGUGCCACCUUCGGGCUCUGGAGACCACUUGGAGAAGAUUCCAGGCACGCGUUGACAACGAUGGCGAACAAGUGGAGAUUCUUAGAUUUUUUGAAGCUAUUAACAUAUUUACAUUUGUUAUUAUGUUACAGUGUCGCAUUAUCCGUUCUUUUACCAUUAAAAACGAUAGUCCCAUGUAAGUGCUAACAUUGUUUUGAAGCGCCCUGUAACUGGCUUGGUAGCCUUGAAUCUUUGUCUGUGCUGCCUAUUGACCCAAUUACUUUCUUAUGAACUUGGAAAUUACAUAUCCUUCUGCACAAAUUGUAUUUAAUGAAAGUAAAACCUCACCAGUACAAGCGGACUGAGAAACUAACGAAAAAAACCACGACGGAAAUUUCCCUUCCCACUCCACCGAGACAACUCGAGUCGAGGCAAUGUGCAACACUCACACGACACGUCCCGCAUUGAAACCUCGUGUGGGAAGUUCCACUUCGACACACUUGGGGCAUCUGCAGUGGGGAUCCUUGGUGGGUUGAGCUGCCUCCUUCCUCCACUGUGCAGCAACAACAACAACCACCACCACCAUCGCCGCCGUUCAUCACUAAGUGGCGGUGACGUUACCACGGCGCCUGUGCCAGGCUGGGUGCACUUUGAGGCCACGUGAAGUGUCGAAGGCCCGCUGCUGGCAGGAUGCCACUGAACAGACCCACGCGUCAUGGGUUUGGCCGGCACACUUUGACAGCCAUGCACUCUCUUCCCUUUGAUUUUGUUUCGUUGUCGUGACACACAUCCCUCGCUACGCUCUUCACGGCGUCCUUGAUUGUACUCCAUCUCGGCCAGGUACUACAGCAGCGGAAUGUCUCACACGCCACUCUAACCAUUGUGUUACUGCGCGUCGCUGGCCCUGUUUAUGUUCGUGUUGGUGAAAGGUUUUUGAUGAUAAAAACAGUUACAAUAAAAAUGUCAACCGUGCCGCACUGCGCACCGAGUGCACGGCAAUACACGCUCGCUCAGCAUCGCUUCUCGUCGGGGUGCUUUGGGUGGGCUUCCUGAGUCCCGGGCUCUCGGUCUACAUCAUGAAACCCCUGCGAGUCUCAAGCCCCUUGGUCUCAAAUAAGUUUAUGUUUUUGAUGUGUUUAAAGUGCGAACGCAUCAUUAUCGCCUCUCUGUGAAACCCCACAAUGCUGCUGGGAGGCAUCCACUGCUGCCAAGUUUUAGCUGGUGGAUAUUGUGUAAUAUUAAGAAAAAAUGGGGCCAUAAAAGAAAAGAGCUUUAACCGAGGGGGUUCAUCAAAGAGGCCGUCACCACUUUUAAAUGGAAAGAUCACUCGCGUAAUUGUUCGUGCUGCUUCGGUGACAUUUCACGGAAAAUUCUUCCCCGCGACCCUUCCGUCACAAAGCAGCCCCGUUUGAGCGCUGCACGAAUGUCGAAUGGGCCCGUAUCAGCUGGCCCACUUCAGGUCUGCCGAGGCUGUCAGAAAGUGACAAAACUGAAAUAAUGGAGUAUAAAAAUACAGUCCAACCG